rnacentral:rRNA from 1 species
GAAUUCACUAGUGAUUCAGGCCUAACACAUGCAAGUCGAGCGGUAGCACAGGGAGCUUGCUCUUGGGUGACGAGCGGCGGACGGGUGAGUAAUGUCUGGGAAACUGCCUGAUGGAGGGGGAUAACUACUGGAAACGGUAGCUAAUACCGCAUAACGUCGCAAGACCAAAGAGGGGGACCUUCGGGCCUCUUGCCAUCAGAUGUGCCCAGAUGGGAUUAGCUAGUAGGUGGGGUAACGGCUCACCUAGGCGACGAUCCCUAGCUGGUCUGAGAGGAUGACCAGCCACACUGGAACUGAGACACGGUCCAGACUCCUACGGGAGGCAGCAGUGGGGAAUAUUGCACAAUGGGCGCAAGCCUGAUGCAGCCAAGGGGCGUGUAUGAAGAAGGCCUUCGGGU